UUUAGCUAGCUAGGUACUGGCAUUUAAAAAAAAAAGUGAUUCCUCAUAGAAGUUACCCAACGAUGCGAGGAAAUACCAAAAGUAUUCAACAAAAUAGCUACUUGUCACUUACUCGACGCUAAGCUAACUAGCAAUAUAGGUAACAUCAGUUAUCCAACGUUAGCUAGCGGUCUCAGUCACCCCUCAUCCUGUUCGUUUUUUGCUGGCAUCAAUCAAUUUCCCCCACAGUUGGAUCUUCGCGGGAUUCAAGACCCUCCGACAUGUUGGUGUUGCUCAAAUAACUAGUUGAUCAGCUGCUGUCGAUGAUGCGUGCUAGCGAGCGUGUUUCGUCUUGUCUGAAUUGCUUUCGAAUCGGAAAUCGUUGUUUUCCCCCCAGGAAGUGUGAAGAGACCAUACCGCAGGACAGCGUUUUCUUGUGCAUGCCGUGCUCUCUGCCCGCUAUGUGCGACGCCCAGAGAUUGUCGUGGUCAGGUGACACACGGCCUGCAAUGAAGUCCCCGCUGGCAGGUACAAACAAGGUACAACAUCAGAGUUAGGAAAAGAAAAGGAAAACUUAGGAUAGGUCCUUACUCUGUACCGUUAGCAGUACUUUACCUGUUAACAAUGCUAUCAAGUCUCUUUAUGUUAUUUCCUUAUGAACACCUGUUAAAAAGCAAGGGGGAAAAGGACAAUCUACAGAAAAACGCUUACGUUUUUUCUGGAGAGCUUAAUAAAAAAGGCAAACCACUACAGAAGCAUUUUUUCCAUUAAAGAUCUAUAGACAUGACUCUUUAGAUUUAUGUCAGAAUAGGGGGGUGCAUGGUAAUCGAAACCACUUGCUUUCUCUCUUGAUAGGUUUCAGAGUAAUUGUUUAGUGUCUAUUGAUCUUUAAGUGUUUUUUUUAUUUUUUUUUAGGUCAGGCCUAAUGUGAAGGUGAGAGUGUGGUCUUACCAGAGGUCUAAGCAGGUCUUGUUGGAUUAGAUCAGCUCAGUAAGGCUGGUAGUUGUUCUGGUGGGUUGUGACCUCUCGAGAGGCCUUCCCAUAGCUGCUCUGCUGGCCUAUGGGGAAGGUCAAGGGUUAGAGGUCAGGAAAAUUAAGGGUCACAGGAGAACUUCACAGAAACAAAACAGUUGUAGGAGGAAAUCCUAUCAAGGUGUUAUCAAUUGAAGUUCAGUUGACAUGAGAAUUUAAGUUCACUUUCCUUUAUGGGGUAAAUGGCAGCAAGAAAUCAUAAAUAAUCAGUAGGAUGUAGUCUGUAGUUUGUGUACCUAAUUGUUUUUGUUUUUCUUGGACUUUCAAAUGGAAUGUUAUUGUAUCAGUACUGAGAUGCAAUUAUGUGUCAAGAUUGGGCAGCAGGUAGCAUAGCGGUUCAAGCAUUAGGCCAUUAGCCAAAAGGUCAAUACCAUACUACUAUGGCUGACCCUGUACAUUUCACUGCGCCUAUUUGGUGUACACGACAAAACAAUUCAAAUGUGCUAAAGAGACUCUGUACAUUAAGGUGUGCUUUACUCUAUAUACCCAGGAAUGUAACUACAAGUACUCUUAAUUGUGUGUGCCAUACAAAUGUAAUCUUAUAGAACUGUAUAUGGGCUCAAUGAUCAUUAAUGUUGCAAGUGUUCCCUAUAAAAUAACAAAGUGCACUGCCUGGAUAUGGAGGACCCCUCACAAACAUGCACCAGAGCAAAGAGACCCAAGGCAGGCAGCAUUACAGACAUCCGUUUUAUUAUUUUUUUCCAGAGCUAUUGAGUACAUACAAGAAGACAUUUUUCCACCUGUUGUCUUAGCUAUAGGUACAAGAGUUGUUGCUGGGGGCUGAAAGGCACUGCUUGUUUCGAUAGUUGCCAUCAACAGUGUAGCUUACCAUUGUAGUCGUCGUAUCCCUGUCCAUAACCAUAACUAUUAUAGUUGUAGCCAGAGUAGUCAUAGCCUGUGUAGCCAUUGUAUCCCUGGUUGUAUCCGUUGCCGUAGCUACCAUAGUUCUGGCUAUAGUAGCCAUUGUAACCCUGGUUGUAGCUACUCUGACCUGCACAGAGACAAUGGAAAGGUUUAGUGUGACAAGUCUGUAUUGUAGUUUCAAAGACACUUGUAUGUCUUUCUUUUCAAUAUACUGCAAUGCAUGCCCUGUUCGGUCAUCAGCAUGUUCAUUGUUGCAUGUGUCAAAUGCCACACAAGAAAUUCCCUUGUGGAAGAAUAAAGUUGAUUGAAUUUAAA